GAUGAACGCUGGCGGCGUGCCUAACACAUGCAAGUCGAACGGGAACAGAAUGAAACCUAGUGAUUUUUGUUUUAGUGGCGGACGGGUGAGUAACGCGUGGGUAACCUGCCGUAUACAGGGGGAUAACACUUAGAAAUAGGUGCUAAUACCGCAUAAGCGCACAGCUUCGCAUGGAGCAGUGUGAAAAGCGUAAACGGUAUACGAUGGACCCGCGUCUGAUUAGCUUGUUGGUGAGGUAACGGCUCACCAAGGCGACGAUCAGUAGCCGGCCUGAGAGGGCGACCGGCCACAUUGGGACUGAGACACGGCCCAAACUCCUACGGGAGGCAGCAGUGGGGGAUAUUGCACAAUGGAGGAAACUCUGAUGCAGCGACGCCGCGUGAGGGAAGACGGUCUUCGGAUUGUAAACCUCUGUCUUUGGGGAAGAAAAUGACGGUACCCAAAGAGGAAGCUCCGGCUAACUACGUGCCAGCAGCCGCGGUAAUACGUAGGGAGCGAGCGUUGUCCGGAAUUACUGGGUGUAAAGGGAGCGUAGGCGGGCGAGAAAGUUGAAUGUUAAAUCUACCGGCUUAACUGGUAGCUGCGUUCAAAACUUCUUGUCUUGAGUGAAGUAGAGGCAGGCGGAAUUCCUAGUGUAGCGGUGAAAUGCGUAGAUAUUAGGAGGAACACCAGUGGCGAAGGCGGCCUGCUGGGCUUUAACUGACGCUGAGGCUCGAAAGCGUGGGGAGCAAAACAGGAUUAGAUACCCUGGUAGUCCACGCUGUAAACGAUGGAUACUAGGUGUGCGGGGACUGACCCCCUGCGUGCCGCAGCUAACGCAAUAAGUAUCCCACCUGGGGAGUACGAUCGCAAGGUUGAAACUCAAAGGAAUUGACGGGGGCCCGCACAAGCGGUGGAUUAUGUGGUUUAAUUCGAUGCAACGCGAAGAACCUUACCAGGGCUUGACAUCCCGAUGACGAGUGAGCAGAGUCACUUUCCCUUCGGGGCAUUGGAGACAGGUGGUGCAUGGUUGUCGUCAGCUCGUGUCGUGAGAUGUUGGGUUAAGUCCCGCAACGAGCGCAACCCCUAUUUCCAGUAGCCAGCAGGUAGAGCUGGGCACUCUGGAGAGACUGCCCGGGAUAACCGGGAGGAAGGCGGGGAUGACGUCAAAUCAUCAUGCCCCUUAUGAUCAGGGCUACACACGUGCUACAAUGGCGUAAACAAAGGGAAGCGAGACGGUGACGUUGAGCAAAUCCCAAAAAUAACGUCCCAGUUCGGAUUGUAGUCUGCAACUCGACUACAUGAAGCUGGAAUCGCUAGUAAUCGCGAAUCAGAAUGUCGCGGUGAAUACGUUCCCGGGUCUUGUACACACCGCCCGUCACACCAUGGGAGUCGGAAAUGCCCGAAGUCAGUGACCUAACCGAAAGGAAGGAGCUGCCGAAGGUGGAGCCGGUAACUGGGGUG
rnacentral:rRNA from 1 species